GCAGCUUUGGCCGAGCGGUCUAAGGCGAUGGUCUUAAGUUUCUUAAGCACACCAUUAUCGAGAGAUGCGUGGGUUCGAACCCCACAGGCUGCA
rfam:Botryotinia fuckeliana BcDW1 unplaced genomic scaffold Scaffold_135, whole genome shotgun sequence.